UACAGAGGGGGCAAGCGUUGUUCGGAAUUACUGGGCGUAAAGGGCGCGUAGGCGGCCUUCUAAGUCGAACGUGAAAGCCCCGGGCUCAACCUGGGAAUUGCAUUCGAGACUGAAUAGCUAGGGUGCGGUAGAGGGAAGCGGAAUUUCCGGUGUAGCGGUGAAAUGCGUAGAUAUCGGAAGGAACAUCAGUGGCGAAAGCGGCUUCCUGGACCAGCACCGACGUUCAGGCACGAAAGCGUGGGGAGCAAACAGG
rnacentral:rRNA from 1 species